CAAAAUUAGCCUAUAUAUAAAAUAUUUAAAACAUUAAGAAUACUAGAUUAUAAAUAUAACAGAAACAUUAAAAGUUAAAUAUUUAAAAUUUUUUUUUUAAUAUAACAAGGAUUUAUUUAUUUGCACUUAUAACUUAAAAAUAUAGUAAAGUCAUACCUCAUUUUAAGUUGUUUUGAUUUAUAUUAUUUUCAAUUUUACAUCAGUUUUUGGUUAAUAAUAAGAGUAAAAAAUAAAAGCCUACUAAAGGCUGGGUCUCACAGGCAUGAAACAUGAUGUAAAUAUGUCAGUGUAUCGAUGCUUAUGAUUUCACUUCUGCUAUAUAGCUGGAUUCUGCGUCUUUACCUGAAGUUGACUUUUGUUCAAUUUUAUACGCUACAUAUAAGAGUACAGUUGUGCAAGAAAGUUAAUUGCCACCUGUAUGCCGUUCGGCUUGGUGGUGAUGUCACGGAACGAAUUGUGAUGUCAAGUUGUAUCCUGACCAGUUUAAUCAGAAUUAAAAUAAUGUGAACAGAAUAAGUUGGAUGUAUUUAGUAUAUUAAUAUGCAGUUGUUGCCAUAGGUAAAUAAUAUGGUAUUUAAGAAAUAUGAGAUCUGACACAAAAAUUUUUCUUUCCUGAAGAGUUAUGUCACAAUCUUUGUUGGUAUAAUUUGCAUGUCAUUUCUGAUGUACACCCAGCAUAUACCUUAUAAUUUAAUAAAUUCACU
rnacentral:lncRNA from 1 species